UAGAGGGGGAUAGCCUUCCGAAAGGAAGAUUAAUACCGCAUGAAAUGUUUUUAUCGCAUGGUAGAAACAUCAAAGGAGUAAUCCGCUAUAAGAUGGACCCGCGGCGCAUUAGCUAGUUGGUGAGGUAACGGCCCACCAAGGCGACGAUGCGUAGCCGACCUGAGAGGGUGAUCGGCCACAUUGGAACUGAGACACGGUCCAGACUCCUACGGGAGGCAGCAGUGGGGAAUAUUGCGCAAUGGGGGAAACCCUGACGCAGCAACGCCGCGUGAAUGAAGAAGGCCUUAGGGUUGUAAAGUUCUGUUUCUGGGACGAUAAUGACGGUACCAGAGGAGGAAGCCACGGCUAACUACGUGCCAGCAGCCGCGGUAAUACGUAGUGGCAAGCGUUUGUCCGGAUUACUGGGCGUAAAGGAUGCGUAGGCNGAUGUUUAAGUGAGAUGUGAAAUACCCGAGCUCAACUUGGGGUGCCUGCAUUUCAAACUGGAUAUCUAGAGUGCAGAGAAGAAAGCCGGAAUUCCUAGUGUAGCCGGUUGAAAUUGCGUUNAGAWUAGGNAAGAACACCCAGUGGGCGAAGGCGGCUUUCUUGGACUUGUAACCUUACCGCCUUAAGGGCAWUGAAAAGCGGUGGGGAGGCAAACCAGGAUUUAGAUUCCCCUGGUNAGGUUCCCCACCGCCGGUAAAACCGAAUGAAAUACUUAGGGUGUUAGGAAGGGUAUUCNGANUCUUUUUGUUGGCCCGCAAGUUUAACCCNNAAAUAAGGUAUUUCCCGCCCUGGGGGAGGUACGGAUUCGCCAAGAUUUAAAAACUCCAAAGGAAAUUUGACGGGGGGCCCGCACNAAGCAAGCGGGAAGCAUGUGGUUUUAAUUCGAAAGCAACGCGAAGAAACCUUACCCUAGACUUUGACAUCUCCUGAAUUACCCUUAACCGGGAAAGCCCUUCGGGGCAGGAAGACAGGUGGUGCAUGGUUGUCGUCAGCUCGUGUCGUGAGAUGUUGGGUUAAGUCCCGCAACGAGCGCAACCCUUAUCAUUAGUUGCUACCAUUAAGUUGAGCACUCUAGUGAGACUGCCACGGUUAACGUGGAGGAAGGUGGGGAUGACGUCAAAUCAUCAUGCCCCUUAUGUCUAGGGCUACACACGUGCUACAAUGGUGAAUACAAAUAGAUGCAAUACCGCGAGGUGGAGCCAAACUAUAAAAUUCAUCCCAGUUCGGAUUGUAGUCUGAAACUCGACUACAUGAAGCCGGAGUUGCUAGUAAUCGCGAAUCAGCAUGUCGCGGUGAAUACGUUCCCGGG
rnacentral:rRNA from 1 species